GGGGAUGUAGCUCAAUUGGUAGAGCAUUAUUAAACGCUUAAUAAAGGCCUGGGGUUCGACUCCUCACAUCUCCA